GGUGUACGCACAUUUUCAGCCCCAUUUUGUGCGUACGCCACGUUUAUAAAUGAGAUGCCUGGACAUGAACUGUGC